CAAGCUGGCAGGGUGCGCGAUGGGUGGCUACUUGGAGACAGUGGUUAUCCACUAAAGACGUGGCUGUUAACCCCCCUCACCAACCCACAAACUGACCGAGAGCGCAGA